UGAGGAAUAUUGGUCAAUGGGCGAGAGCCUGAACCAGCCAAGUAGCGUGAAGGAUGACUGCCCUAUGGGUUGUAAACUUCUUUUAUAAAGGAAUAAAGUCGGGUAUGCAUACCCGUUUGCAUGUACUUUAUGAAUAAGGAUCGGCUAACUCCGUGCCAGCAGCCGCGGUAAUACGGAGGAUCCGAGCGUUAUCCGGAUUUAUUGGGUUUAAAGGGAGCGUAGAUGGAUGUUUAAGUCAGUUGUGAAAGUUUGCGGCUCAACCGUAAAAUUGCAGUUGAUACUGGAUAUCUUGAGUGCAGUUGAGGCAGGCGGAAUUCGUGGUGUAGCGGUGAAAUGCUUAGAUAUCACGAAGAACUCCGAUUGCGAAGGCAGCCUGCUAAGCUGCAACUGACAUUGAGGCUCGAAAGUGUGGGUAUCAAACAGGAUUAGAUACCCUGGUAGUCCACACGGUAAACGAUGAAUACUCGCUGUUUGCGAUAUACAGCAAGCGGCCAAGCGAAAGCGUUAAGUAUUCCACCUGGGGAGUACGCCGGCAACGGUGAAACUCAAAGGAAUUGACGGGGGCCCGCACAAGCGGAGGAACAUGUGGUUUAAUUCGAUGAUACGCGAGGAACCUUACCCGGGCUUAAAUUGCAGAUGAAUUACGGUGAAAGCCGUAAGCCGCAAGGCAUCUGUGAAGGUGCUGCAUGGUUGUCGUCAGCUCGUGCCGUGAGGUGUCGGCUUAAGUGCCAUAACGAGCGCAACCCUUGUUGUCAGUUACUAACAGGUUCCGCUGAGGACUCUGACAAGACUGCCAUCGUAAGAUGUGAGGAAGGUGGGGAUGACGUCAAAUCAGCACGGCCCUUACGUCCGGGGCUACACACGUGUUACAAUGGGGGGUACAGAAGGCAGCUACACGGCGACGUGAUGCUAAUCCCGAAAGCCUCUCUCAGUUCGGAUUGGAGUCUGCAACCCGACUCCAUGAAGCUGGAUUCGCUAGUAAUCGCGCAUCAGCCACGGCGCGGUGAAUACGUUCCC
rnacentral:rRNA from 1 species